rnacentral:lncRNA from 1 species
UGUAGAUUCUAAUAAACAUGGCUUGCAGGAGUCGAUGAACAAAGGUACUUAAUGCGGACCUAAGCCUCCGUUGAUAUUGCUCCGCUGGCAGUAUCUAAAUAUUCAAAAGCAAAGUGGCUCUCUCGCUGCCAUGACACUCAAUCAAAACACCUAGAGUGAGCUGGCUGAGACCAGAGGGGGUACCAAGCAGAGCAAGGACAGAGGAAGGCACUAGGAGAGCGCCAGAAUUGGAAAGAGAGCAGCCAUUUGGAUUUGGGCAGGAAGCAGCCGAGCACAGCUUUGGAUCCUUCUUUAGGGAAAUCGAGUUAUGGAUUUAUGGUCCCGGUCAAGCUCAGCCCAACCCCAGGCAGGGGCGGGCUCAGCAGC